GGCCUGGUAGCGCAUCUGAAAGCGCGUCUGACACUCUUGCAUACGUGUGAUCAGUGUUUAGAGAGUCCUUGUUCGAAUCAAGGUCAGACCA